rnacentral:lncRNA from 1 species
CACAUAUACAUAAUUAUUCAGACCCUUUACUCAGUACUUUGUUGAAGCCCCUUUGGCAGCAAUUACAGCCUCCAGUCUUCUUGGGUAUGACGCUACAAGCUUGACACACCUGUAUUUGGGGAGUUUCUCCCAUUCUUCUCAGCAGAUCCUCUCAAGCUCUGUCAGGUUGGAUGGGGAGUGUCACUGAACAGCAAUAUUCAUGUCUCUCCAGAGAUGUUCGAUCGCGUUUAAAAGGUGCCAUUCAAGACAUGGUUAGAAUUUUCGAAGACAUUUCAUGGAUGCAAAGAUAACGGUGCGGAGUCGAGGUUGUCAGUGAUAAUCUUAUCUGGCUGUGAUGGGUAGCAGAGAGGGACAAAAGAGGCCAAGGCAUGCUGGAGGUCUGAUGGGCUGCUGAUUGCAGAGCUGUCCAGUAGAAAGGAGGUUUCCAUGAAGAUGAUGAAUGACAUGUGUCCUGGGCGAUAGGCCGACCCAUCAGGAGCCUGAUGAAUAGUCACGUCUCAGUGAGACAGAUGACAGACAGGCCCCAGAUUGAAAUGUUAACCUCCUACUGUAUUCACUCUCCUUCUGCAAAUAUGGUUUGGUUUAGAAAAUGUUUAAGAGGUGACUUAAAGGAUUAAAGCUAGAUGACUACAUAUGGUGAGUUAGAACAAUUAAGUGAAACACUGAAUAAAGACCACAAUAGAUAGAAAUUAAUAUAGAUACUAAAUUCUGUAUAUAUACAAAUACAUUUUGGAAGGCUGCAAGUAUUUGUGUCAUUUGGAGAAAUGUUCCUUUUUUAUUUUACAAGACGAGCAAAUUCCAUUUUAUAAGAGUGCAAUAGCUAGAGAACAAUUUGAAAUAACACACGUAUGUGACGCAAAGCUUAAUACCCCAUACUUCAUACCCAGCCCUAAGUCCCAUUCCCAGGUUCACCCUCCUGGCCAGUAGAGAGACGCAGACAAGCCAGUGAUACUGUAUGUAGCCUACCACGGCUGUGCUCACUGGCACACAACACACAAUAGGGUGCCUAAUGUUUCACUAGUGUCUGACUAUGAUAGAUGAUCCGGAAGAGAUGUGCAGCCCUGCAGAAAACCCUGUCACAGCUGCAGCACAGGGCCUGAGAAAUCAGGUAUUUUUUUUAGAAAAGGCUAUUCUUCCUGCUGACUUUAUACUCAAUUAACUUGUUUUGAUUUACCUAACUGGGAGGUGGAUUUAUUGUCUCCUUUACAAGCUGUACUUUAUUUAAUUUAGGUGUAUAUGAGGAAAUUUAGAACUCUCAUUACUGG